UGGGGGAUAUUGCACAAUGGAGGAAACUCUGAUGCAGCAACGCCGCGUGAGGGAAGAAGGUUUUCGGAUUGUAAACCUCUGUUUUUAGUGAAGAAACAAAUGACGGUAGCUAAAGAGGAAGCCACGGCUAACUACGUGCCAGCAGCCGCGGUAAUACGUAGGUGGCAAGCGUUGUCCGGAAUUACUGGGUGUAAAGGGUGCGCAGGCGGGACUGCAAGUUGGAUGUGAAAUACCGGGGCUUAACCCCGGGGCUGCAUCCAAAACUGUGGUUCUUGAGUGGAGUAGAGGUAAGCGGAAUUCCGAGUGUAGCGGUGAAAUGCGUAGAUAUUCGGAGGAACACCAGUGGCGAAGGCGGCUUACUGGGCUCUAACUGACGCUGAGGCACGAAAGCAUGGGGAGCGAACAGGAUUAGAUACC
rnacentral:rRNA from 1 species